CCCUUAGAUGUUCUGGGCCGCACGCGCGCUACACUGAUGCAUUCAACGAGUCUAAAACCUGCUCUGAUAGGGGUGGGUAAUCUUUUGAAUGUGCAUCGUGAUUGGGAUAGAUGAUUGCAAUUUUUCAUCUUCAACGAGGAAUGCCUAGUAAACGCAAGUCAUCAGCUUGCAUUGAUUACGUCCCUGCCCUUUGUACACACCGCUCGUCGCUCCUACCGAUUGAAUGAUCCGAUGAAUAUCAUGGAUUGAGGAUUAUAGCAGGUUCGCCUGUCUUGAUCUUCGAGAAGUGAAGUAAAUCUUAUCAUUUAGAGGAAGGAGAAGUCGUAACA
rnacentral:rRNA from 1 species